rnacentral:lncRNA from 1 species
GGGAAUGUGUUGCUGAUGUUGCUGUCCUUCUAGACGCUCAGCUCUGAAAAAUGGGUGGACUCUGAAGUGGUUGGUUAUCUUCCAGCCUGGGGAAGUGAAGUGGUGGACAGAGUAGACAGGGAAGUGCCAAGAAUGUGUUCAAGAGCCAUGGAGAAGGGUUUGUGCCACCACACGCAGGGAAAACAACUUUGGGAUGGCAAUAUAACCUCUGGUCAGAGCAUCCUAGGGGACUGGGGCAUGAGAUGGGGCAAUGGGGACACUGGCACUGUCUAUGGAGCCUGGCACAGGCUCUGACAUUGUGUGCUACAGGGGAGGGUGAUAGUUCCUCCUGCCAAUCUGGUUUAGAGGGUUGUGCCAGAUGUGAGAAGGAAGGAGGUAGGUGUGGAGGUCUUUAUUUGGGAAAACAGACUUUUUUUCUGCCAGGAACUCCUUCUAUUCCCUCUUAGGCAUAGGGAGUGGAACUACAGAUGGAGAGCAGUGUGAGACACAAAGGAGGAAGCACGCCAUUCCUAAGACCCUAAGGAAGAUGGGUGGAGAGAGGCUGGCAGUUCUGCCUGGCCUCCAGCCAGUUCCCGCUGAAGAUGGUCAUAUCCUCUAUCCUGGUCUGUAUGUGUCACCAUUGCAGGCGUAGGAGGGGAGGGAAGGACUUGAUUGCUGAGGCGGGCUCUGGGAUGGGAAGGGCACGUUUCUGCAGAUCCCAGUUUGACUCUCCACUCUAACAAGUGAGGUGUCUCAUUUUUCUCUUUGGUGUUUUUCUUUUCUCCCCCUCCCUUUGCCUCAGCCCUCUUUCAUCUUUCCAUCACCACCUGGGUCCUACUGCUUGGCAUCCAACCAACUAGAUGUCACCACGCUUGGCAGUGCUGUAUUGGCAUGUGUACAGUGUCUCAGAUCCUGGCACUGCGGCAAACCCAAAGCCGGCAAAUGUGCUCACGACGCCACUUGGCGGCAGUGAGAGAGAGGGGGCCAUGCACAAUGGAGUGCCAGGCAUUGGGUGGAGCUCUGUGCUGGGAAGUUGCACAAGAGGAUGCCCUUAACAACUUGGCUGAGCCAGCACUUCCUAGACAACUCCAACUCUGCUGUCUCCCAGCUGGCCACUCACCUAGCUCCUGCCCUCACUGCUCUCAAGAAAAGGAUUUGGCUGGUACUAUACUCUGUUUGAAUGGCUAUGCAAAGUGAAACUAGAGCACAGAGGAGCAAGGAUGCCAGGCCAGUGAACUUUCUGGGCAGCAAGGGCAGAAAAAAAUCCUAGGAGAGUGAAAAGAGAGCCUGGAGAAUGCCAGCUAUAUUGUCACCAAGAUGGUACCAGAAGAGAUUGGAAGGAUGAAAUGCGACUCAGUGUAGAACACUUGCCCAGCAUGCAUGAGACCCUCCCUGGGUUUGAUCUCCAAUACCACAAA